AGUCGCCAACACACAUCCCUGCGCACACGUUGUCGGGUUUGCUGUCCCCUAUCAGAGACCUGCCGAACUUCUGGGGUUCGGAGGAGCCGGGUGGGAAGGUGGUUUGGGGUGUUAGGAGCGAUUGCUGACAGGGACCACGUUCUCGCAUGCAUGAGCUCUACCCACUUGAUACCUGAAAUCAGGUUCAUCUGUUUCAACUGGUGCUUAUGACCAUCGGAUGGGGGGCGGGGGAGGGUGGGCAGGAGCAAAGCGGAGUGUUUUUCAGUAAUUAGCGAGUGUCAAUAAAGAAUAGGAGCUUGAUUUUGAGAUUAGAAGGUAGGCAAAAGAGAGAAGAGCCCACUGACAAAAGAUACUCAAGGAGGACGGGAAGAUGUAGCUGAGGCUGACAAUGAAUUGUAGGUUUUCCCAGUGUGAUCCCUCCAGAAAGAGAACACCCUCUAUGCGUGUCCUUGUUUCUCUUUUUUGUUUAGGGUCCUUCUCUAGUUAGGCAGCACAACCUCGGACAAAGGCUGAUGUGUGCUUCCAUGCCUUUGACUUUGUCUUAGAGGACUAGUUAAGAAACUCCCAGGAUGCUGAAGGGCACCGAUGCCAAGUUGGCUAGCCGUCCCAGGGAGGAUGAAGUGGGGCUGGUGACAAGUUCACUGGGCUUUGUGAAGUGGAAUAAAGAAAGUGCUGGUCAGUGGAAAGUGCUGGCUCUGCUGCGGAAACAGUGGUUUUUUUCAGCAGCGAUUAGGAGCUGCUGAGGGGACAUUCUGCAGGAAAGAUGGUGGGUGGGGGCGGGGGGACACGGGUAUUUAAAAAUUGUACAGUGUGCACCAUGGAAAGUCCAAGAAGACAGUCCGGAUUUGCACAUAGGAAGUGUGAACUUGUACAGUCCGUCCUGGAGAAACCCGCUUGCCCUUGGGGGGAGGGCUGUGAGAGGCUCGGUGUGUGGCUGCUCGUGUAAUUUCUUCGCUUAGUGACAGCAGCUUGUUAAGGCUAAUGAACGGCUGAAUUUCCUCUGCCGGGAUCCAAAGCAGGAUUUGCCAGCUUGAGGCUGAGAUGUAACAGUCUCUGCUUUAGCAAAAGAGGUUUGGCUUUUGGUAUAAGGAGCCGAGUGGCAAGGCGGAUCCUUUAACUGUACCAUUGUUGCUAGUUCACUUCUGGUCAGAGGCUGUGAGUUUUCCUCCAGGUAUUGGCGUCUGGUGUCUCUGUGUCCACACAUGCAUUCUUGUCCAAGGACGCUAGCAGAUGCUUGACUCUGUCUCUCUGUAAACACAUACACAGUUCACAUAUUUUUAGAAUAAAGUCUUUCUUCAAUGCAUCCUUUUCCUUAUCCUUAACGAGAGUGUGUCUCAUGAAGGGUCUCACUGGAUCUUUUUCUUCCUUUUAUUUCCAAUGCUAAUUAAACCAAAAUCUUCUGAAAUAGCCUUCAUUUCACACUGUCAGCCCACUGGCCUGGGCUGCCAGGUGCUAUAUCAGCCAGGAAAACAAAGCAAACUGUAGGGUCUGUCCAUCCGUAGGUUUGCCUCAGUCCCCAAUUCGCAGAUAGCCUUGUCAUGAAUUAGAAUUUCUUGGCAACAGCACCACCCAGGGAAAUUUGUAGACACAAAGGAGCCUUGCUAGCCACACUGAAAGGAUAAAAUAACUGUUUUUUUUUGUUACUGUAAAUCUGUUUCUUUAUUUGAAACAGCAACUUGGUAGAUGAAAUAAAAAUAUAACUGCCCGUUACCCAGAAUUUAUCUUUAUGAAGAUGCAAUCACUAAAUAGAUGGGGAUACCAUUCUUCAUUGAGCUGGUAGAUGGACCUAGUCACACUUUGUGGGAUUUUUGUUGUUUAUAUUCAAGUAUAGAAAAUAUUCCACAGUAAAUACUUCAUUCCUUAAGCCCUUUUUAUGUGCAUAAUACUGUAUUUGGGCAAUGCAAAAUUGAAUUGGAUAUAGAAUCUGCCCUCUAGGAGCUUGACUGUAGUAAGGCAGAGAAAGCAUGUUCAAAAUUAAGUUAAACAGAAUAGAGCAUGAGUGCCAGAAAGAAGGAAAGAAAGAAAGAAACAUUCAGUUCUGUGUUGGAACACUGACCUGUGCCUAUCUGUAUUACCCACAUAGUUCCAACCUUGUUUAUAAAACAUACUUGAGAUUUACUAAGUUCUGUUGUGAAAAAGCUUUCAGCCAAUGUCAUGUUGUGGGCUGGAUACUUUUAGGGCAGAUGAGUAUACAAUGUGAAUACACAUAUCCAUAAUGGCCAGGAAACAGUGCCCAUGUCUGUGCCAUUCGGAAAUGAUUAGAGGUUUGACAUUCUAGUCAUUGUAACUCCUUUCUUUUUCUUGAAUCUAAUAAAAAAUUAGGUGAAAAGAUCUAAUUAGCGGAAGUCUAAAAUUAGUUGAAAAAUCCCACUGACUUGGCUUCUGAGGUGCUUUAGCAUCAGCCUGUCAUGGAUGGCACCCUUGGCCAUUGCCUUGCCACAAUCCCUGUCACCUCCCUGGACUUGCCUUUUUGCCACCAUCACCCCAGGUGGCCUGCUUUCAAACUGUUCAUGGCUCCCUCUUAUACAUAGCAUGAGGCCAAACUUCCAAGAGUCAGGGUGUUCCAAGACUGGGUCUACACAAUAUUUGCAAGUUCCCCCCUUUUCACAUGUAGUAAAUGCCAUCCAAAUUAAGUGACUAUGCUUUUCCUGCUUCUGUCUUUAUUUUUGUUGUUUCCUUUAGCCUUUUUCCUCUUCCUCCCUCUCCCCUUCCUGAUUUUCUUUGUCCAAGUUCCACCCAUUCCUUAACUUUCAAAUGGGUGCCAAACUCCCUCCCUUGCUACCAGCCAACUGUAACUGCUAUGAUUUCCAUACUCUUGUGCAGAGCUUUUUACUUCCCCG
rnacentral:lncRNA from 1 species